CGCGUAGGCGGUCUUUUAAGUCAGGUGUGAAAGCCCGGGGCUCAACCCCGGAAGUGCACUUGAAACUAAGAGACUUGAGUAUGGAGAGGGAAGUGGAAUUCCUGGUGUAGCGGUGAAAUGCGUAGAUAUCAGGAGGAACAUCGGUGGCGAAGGCGACUUCCUGGACCAAUACUGACGCUGAGGCGCGAAGGCGUGGGGAGCAAACA
rnacentral:rRNA from 1 species